AGCAGCCGCGGUAAUUCCAGCUCCAAUAGCGUAUAUUAAAGUUGUUGCAGUUAAAAAGCUCGUAGUUGAAUUUCGGGAUUCAUCCGUUGGUCGGGCUUCACGGUCCGUACUGGUGUGAUGGGUUCCUACCUUCUGAAUAACCGGCAUGCCAUUAAUUUGGUGCGCCGGGGAAGCAGAACUAUUACCUUGAAAAAAUUAGAGUGCUUAAAGCAGGCAAGUGCCUGAAUAGGUUAGCAUGGAAUAAUAAAAUAGGACGGCAUGGUUCUAUUUUGUUGGUUUCUAGGAUCACCGUAAUGAUUAAUAGGGAUAGUUGGGGGCAUUAGUAUUCAAUUGUCAGAGGUGAAAUUCUUGGAUUUAUUGAAGACUAACUUCUGCGAAAGCAUUUGCCAAGGAUGUUUUCAUUAAUCAAGAACGAAAGUUAGGGGAUCGAAGACGAUCAGAUACCGUCGUAGUCUUAACCAUAAACUAUGCCGACUAGGGAUCGGACGAUGUUAAAAAAAUGACGCGCUCGGCACCUCAUG
rnacentral:rRNA from 1 species